rnacentral:rRNA from 1 species
GACGAACGCUGGCGGCGUGCUUAACACAUGCAAGUCGAGCGGUAAGGCCCUUUCGGGGGUACACGAGCGGCGAACGGGUGAGUAACACGUGGGUGACCUGCCCUCAGCUCUGGGAUAAGCCUGGGAAACCGGGUCUAAUACCGGAUAUGACUCCAUGACGCAUGUUGUGGGGUGGAAAGCCUUGUGCGGCUGAGGAUGGGCCCGCGGCCUAUCAGCUUGUUGGUGGGGNGAUGGCCUACCAAGGCGACGACGGGUAGCGGGCGUGAGAGCGUGACCCGGCACAUCGGAACUGAGAUACGGUCCGGACACCUACGGGUGGCUGCAGCAACGAAUAUUCCGCAAUGGACGAAAGUCUGACGGAGCGACGCCGCGUGCAGGAUGAAGUCCCUCGGGGAUGUAAACUGCUGUCAGGGGUGAGGGAAUAAGUUGACCAA